AUGGUGGUCAAGAGCGAUGCGUAUCAUCCACCAUAAAACCAGAGUAUUUACAGACAUUAGACCAAUUUUAUAGAACUCGAUAAAUAAUCAAAUUCUCUAAUAAAAACCUCAGAAUUGACAGAGUAACAGAGUUGAAGAGUAGCUUAGUGUAAAGUAUUUAAUUUAAAAAGUUGGAAGCAUUUUGAGAGCCUCAUUGUUCAAUGCAUUUUGAAAAUUUACAUUUUCGCGCGUGUCGUCUCAAAAUGGCGUCGCUAACUCCAUCUAGCAGUCAAGCACGAAACUAUCGAAGAAAAAAAUCGCGUUUUUAAAAAAAAUAAAGCAUAUUUGGAUUUUGCUAAUGCUAAAAAAUUGUUCUACAGGACAAAUAUAUUUGGAGGGAUUAUUUUAGAAUGCAUUUAAAGUUCUGUAUUUGUCAAUUUAAGAUGUUGCACUUUUAUGGGUUUUAAAAAGCUUAGCCAUCUAGCGGUAGGAAGUGGGAACUAAUUGAACUGAACUUCGAAUUAUAUUUUAUACAUUUAUUGAUUGUUCCGAGCUGUAAAUACUUUCAAAAUAUUCUAAGAUUUAUUAAUAUUACUUUCCGAUGCAUGUUAUAAUCUGUUUAGUUGGAAGAAAUUAUUAUUUAACGAACUAAUUUAAGAACAGUACAACUGGUGUCACCUGCCACUGAACUGCGGUACUAGUACAACAAAAAUUUGUAUAUUUCUUUAAAAUUAGCAACCUGACGUAAUUUCGGAAUAAAUUAUAUAAAUAAAUAAAAGUAUGACAUCUCUCUAAAGAUAUUCGUGAAAGAAGUCCUGUGAAAAAAUGUUCUGCCGACACAAUACACAUGUCAUAAAAGAAUCGUAUGAAAUUCGUACAAAAUAUGUAACGAAAAAAGAAACAGUUACAUGAUUAAAAGAAGUCAGAAGGAUGAAUCGGUCAGACCAAUUUUGGCAUCAAGACAGAAAGUUCUUUAGGUAACCGCAAAUAGCAAGUAUUUUCUGGGAAAAAAAAAGAUAGGUAUGAUGGAGGUCAAUGUUUCGUUCAAAGCGCCAAAGUGACUAAUACAUCACCGAUGCGCAUUCAAGUUUCUACUAAAAGUUUUGCAGCAGUACUGCAGUAUUUUUACCCUUGACAACUCGUCGUGUAAUCGUGGUAAAUGUUCGUGCGCACUCGACGUGAAAUCGUUACACCACCCUAAACUCUGCACGAACUUCAUGGCAUUGGAAAUUUUGAUUUUGUUUGUCUGCAGUGGUUCUCAAAACAAAUAUCGGAAGGAACAAACACCGUAUUAGCUAUAUAUUGUACUUCAAUGUAUCCGUCUCUUCAUGGUCCGCCAGUACCGUGUUUUACCCUAGUACUUUUCAUGCUACCAUGAAUUAACAAUUUUUAUUACAACGAUACCAUAAUAACUAGCUUAUAAUGAAGCCUAGUACCGAGGUGUUAUUUAGGAAAGGAAUAAUAAUACAUUUCAGUCGAGUAACGGAUAAUAGCUAUUUAUGAAUUCAAAUAACAGCUCACUUAAGAAAUCUAACAAGUGCUGCCAUCUAUCGCGAAAGGAAGAUUUAAUUUAUCUGCCAAAAACGUUAAAAAAGGUGUCACAGAUUAGAUCAGCGUUAUUAUUUAAGAAACACUUGUUUUUAGUGCAUCAUACGAAUUCAAUUAAGAUUAACGUUACAGUAGCGAGUAAUGUUGGCAUAACUUUUGAGCGUGAUUUUAUUAUCACACUUUGGCAAACAGAAAAGCAGCACAAUGAAAACUUAUCAGCCGUUUUCAAGCGGGGCAACAAUAAAACGUUUACUCACAUUUAACACCUCAUUAAAGAAUUAACAAGCCUGAAAUAGGUACUUGUGUGUCGUGUAUGUUUACAAGCCUAGAUAAGUCUGCUUAGUUUGCCUGGGACGUGGCGGCAGAUUAUCGCCGUCACAAUAUCAUGACUGGAAUUGCAACGCUGUUGCAAUUAUUAUGUUACGUGACGGGAAAAACACAGGCAAUUUUUUCCUACUUAUCAAUGUCAAAUGAUUUGUAUCUAUUUUCACCUUCUGGAUAUUUAUGGUACCAAGGUACAAAUAUGGAAGCAUACUUAUGAUGGGUAAUUAUAAUAAUUAUGGCACUGCACACACUCGUUUCUAAUUCGGCAACGGAAAUUGCCAGUUUCUUCGGCUAGUAAUUAACACGAACAAUGGGAUAUACGGUGUUUCAAUUUCGUUUUAACAGAAUCGAAUUCAUCCGUGAGACAAGCUCCGUGUUGAAGAGACGACACCGCGGAGUGCUCUCUUGUUAACGAUUUACUCGAUGCUGGGUACAAUGCGCGUGUAACGAAGUAAAAGAAAGAAAGAGCGAAAAGGAAAAGAAAAGGGAAAAACCGUAAUCUUGAAAGCGGGUCGGAUCUCGAGACUUCACCGACCUAGACAUCACAUUGUAUGUGUCAUUCGUGAUAUUAAAAACCUGGGUCACGUUGCUAUCGAUCAUUGAUGUACCGCUAAAACAUCUUGCAAAUUUUAUAGAACAUGUGUACAUUUUGAAUGUCUAUGAAUGUAUGUGUCAUGUCUAUGGAUGUCUAUGCUUUGUCUAUGAAUGUCUAUGUCUUGUCUAAGUGAGCUACAACAGCUAAAUGUGCAUGUGAACCUGUGGAACUUAUUUGAAGAUCUCUCAAAUCCUCAGAUCUCCAAG